UGAUUCUGUUAAUAAUUUUUAUGGACAAUUCCUAGGCCAAGCCAAGUGGCAGAAGGCUUUCACUUAGUUGGUCUCAGAAUCUCAUCUCUGGUUUUUGCAGAUGAUGUGGUUCUGUUGGCUUCAUCACGUGAUGGCCUCCAGCUCGCACUGGAGCAGUUUGCAGCUGAGUGUGAAGUGGCAGGAAUGGGGAUCAGCACCUCCAAAUUUGAGCGUGGUCCUCAAUCGGAAAAGGGUGGAGUGCCCGCUCCAGCUGGGCAGGGGCCCUCUGCUGGUGCGCAAAUGUACAGCUCCCGAAUGACUAGUUCCAGCGGGACGUCACCUAACGUCUGAUCAUGUCAUGGUGCCUGUGCCUCACCAGCUGACCCAUAUUAGGCAACAUGUGGUUUUGUUGUUUUGCUCUUUCUCUCCCUCCUGCCGGGGCGGUGCUCAUUACAGGCUCCCGCCCCUGACCCACCCACCUGCCAUCUCCACACCCGCUGCCUAUCUUCAUAAUCCCGAGCCCUGCUUAACAUGGCAGCACUGAGCUACUCCUUGCUGGAUUGUUGAGCGAUCAGCAUCAGUCACUCAGUAGUUUGAGACAGAGGUGGGACCAAGUCAUUGUUUUGCAAGUCUCAAGUAAGUCUCAAGUCUUUAUCCUCAAGUCUCAAGUCAAGUCUCAAGUAAUGUCAGGCAAGUCAGAGUCGAGUCUCAAGUCACUGGUGUAAAAGUCCAAGUAAAGUCACAAGUCUGAAACUUUGAAUUUCAAGUCCUUUCGAGUCUUUAUAUAAAAAAAAAAAAAUGAAAAAAUAAUGUUGCAGUUAUGCUAAAUGUAAAUGUUAGACCAUGUAAUUUUAAAAUCUGUGUUUUUCUCAACACAUGACAAAAUAGUGAACUUAGAAAAUAUACACAAAUUGUGAAAUUGCACCUCUUUAAAAUGCAGCUCAAUUAAACCUAGCUCCAAGAAUAAUUUUCACCGACAGUUCUGAGAUAAGCUGCAUGUUAUUCUUGGAUGCGGUUGUAGGACCGGCUUUAAAAUCGCAUGACAAAAAUAUCAUACACAUUUAAAAAAAACUGCAUCACCAACGUAGCCUGGACAACAUUUGCUAGUUAGAUGAAGUCAGCUAUCUCAUCGUAGCAUAUUUAUAUGCAU
ensembl:lncRNA